GAGCCGGGCGGGAGCUUUAACAUGCAGUCGAACGGCAGCGCGAGAGAGCUUGCUCUCUUGGCGGCGAGUGGCGGACGGGUGAGUAAUAUAUCGGAACGUGCCCAGUAGCGGGGGAUAACUACUCGAAAGAGUGGCUAAUACCGCAUACGCCCUACGGGGGAAAGGGGGGGAUCGCAAGACCUCUCACUAUUGGAGCGGCCGAUAUCGGAUUAGCUAGUUGGUGGGGUAAAGGCUCACCAAGGCAACGAUCCGUAGCUGGUUUGAGAGGACGACCAGCCACACUGGGACUGAGACACGGCCCAGACUCCUACGGGAGGCAGCAGUGGGGAAUUUUGGACAAUGGGGGAAACCCUGAUCCAGCCAUCCCGCGUGUAUGAUGAAGGCCUUCGGGUUGUAAAGUACUUUUGGCAGAGAAGAAAAGGUAUCCCCUAAUACGGGAUACUGCUGACGGUAUCUGCAGAAUAAGCACCGGCUAACUACGUGCCAGCAGCCGCGGUAAUACGUAGGGUGCAAGCGUUAAUCGGAAUUACUGGGCGUAAAGCGUGUGUAGGCGGUUCGGAAAGAAAGAUGUGAAAUCCCAGGGCUCAACCUUGGAACUGCAUUUUUAACUGCCGAGCUAGAGUAUGUCAGAGGGGGGUAGAAUUCCCCGUGUAGCAUGA
rnacentral:rRNA from 1 species